UGUCCGUCGGUCACAAGAAUCGAUAGAGGAAUGCGGCGGCGUAGCAUGGAGAAAAAAAAAGGAGGAAUGAGGCGCACACAUUCCUCGACGUAAAAUCGAACGAACGGUUUUUUCCGUUCACGAAAACGCGUUUACUUACCGAUCGUUGAACGAUGACACUCGCAUGAAUACACGACUAUACGUCCGCCGCGACGUUUCCUGGCAUCUCGAGACCGCACCGAGCACGUAUUUUCAUUGAAAACGAUGAAAAUCUAAUGGUAUGCGGGCGGACACGCAGAACACGGACUGUUUGACACGAGAGGUAGCCUCGCUUCUCCUACCACUUCAACAUUACACUGGAAUGCAUGGCAUUCGGUUGUUCUCGGACCCGCCCUCUACCGGCAAAACUGCCAACCGUUCGCCACGCUCCGCACACACUGUUUCGCGUAUUGAAUGCCUCGCAAGAGCGACAGGUUUUCGAUGAGUAUACUCGCAAGGUACUCAUUUUAGAUGAGCUGGUUUCGAACGCGUACCUACAGUUUUCGAAAGCAUGCUUUGAAAUACUAGUUCGAUGUUAGAAAGCAUCUUCACGAAUAGUAGGCAUGAGUUGUGGAAAUCAAGGUUCUUGAUCGCUAUUUGAUUAAUCUAGAUAUGCUUAAAUAAAAAAAAUUUAAUCAUAGAGAA